UGUGGGGGAUAACCUUUCCAUUACAGCUCAUUGUGAGGGUUYACGCUCCUCCUCCUGGAGUCCUGUAGCCAAGGAAGUAUCAGAACCAGAGCACGGUGACAUGAUUACUGYCCCAUCCAUAAUACAACCCACCAUCCAUUUCCAACCCUGCUGCACCAUCUGCAGUGUCAGAGGCGGAGAGGCCGCCAUUUCUUCUCACUUCAAUAAGGAGGAGCAGUGCUGUGGGCUCUGUUGCUCAGGCUUCAUUCUGCAUCCAAUUAUCUGCAAAGUUUGUCCAUUCAGACGAGCUCCGAGCUCCAUGACAACCGUAAACUGCUGUUCACCACGAGUGAGAUGACAUUUUCAGACGCAGAGCUUCCUGAGAUCAUUUUUCUUUAUUAACUUCUCUGCUUCAUCAAGCUUCAAAGCUGAAGCAGAAAACCUGUGAGUGUGCAAAGAGCAGCGGGA